rnacentral:misc_RNA from 1 species
AUGCGAUAAGUAAUGUGAAUUGCAGAAUUCAGUGAAUCAUCGAAUCUUUGAACGCACAUUGCGCCCUCUGGUAUUCCGGAGGGCAUGCCUGUUCGAGCGUCAUUUCAACCCUCAAGCCUGGCUUGGUGCUGGGGCACUGCCCGUGAUACGGCAGGCCCUGAAAUUCAGUGGCGAGCUCGCCAGGACCCCGAGCGCAGUAGUUUACACCCUCGCUCUGGAAGGCCCUGGCGGUGCCCUGCCGUUAAACCCCCAACUUCUGAAAGUUUGACCUCGGAUCAGGUAGGAAUACCCGCUGAACUUAA